rnacentral:rRNA from 1 species
UACGUAGGGUGCAAGCGUUAAUCGGAAUUACUGGGCGUAAAGCGUGCGCAGGCGGUUUUGAAAGUCUGAUGUGAAAUCCCCGGGCUCAACCUGGGAAUUGCAUUGGAGACUGCAAGGCUAGAAUCUGGCAGAGGGGGGUAGAAUUCCACGUGUAGCAGUGAAAUGCGUAGAGAUGUGGAGGAACACCGAUGGCGAAGGCAGCCCCCUGGGUCAAGAUUGACGCUCAUGCACGAAAGCGUGGGGAGCAAACAGG